rnacentral:tRNA from 1 species
AGUUUAUGAACUUGUUAUAAGUAUAUAUUUUGAAAAUAUAAUAAAGAGUAUGCCCUCUAUAAACUU